UGAAUAUAUAAAGGAAUUAUGGUUAAACCAGAAAUGUUUUACCGACAUGGAUUACAAACUGCCUGAUCACAAAGGUUUUACUGGACCAGAAGCAAAGCUUAUGAAUAGGGAUUCUGAAUGUUACGGUCUUGUAUUUUUGGCUUUGCUGCAUAAACAGUACUGGAUUGGUGCCCAACAGCUUGUAGACUUGGAAUAUAUUGGGAAUCAUCAUCUUCUUGUUGGGUG